AUUGAACGCUGGCGGCAUGCCUUACACAUGCAAGUCGAACGGCAGCACGGGAGCAAUCCUGGUGGCGAGUGGCGAACGGGUGAGUAAAGUAUCGGAACGUGCCCAGUCGUGGGGGAUAACGUAGCGAAAGUUACGCUAAUACCGCAUACGAUCUAUGGAUGAAAGCGGGGGAUCGCAAGACCUCGCGCGAUUGGAGCGGCCGAUAUCAGAUUAGGUAGUUGGUGGGGUAAAGGCUCACCAAGCCGACGAUCUGUAGCUGGUCUGAGAGGACGACCAGCCACACUGGGACUGAGACACGGCCCAGACUCCUACGGGAGGCAACAGUGGGGAAUUUUGGACAAUGGGCGAAAGCCUGAUCCAGCCACGCCGCGUGCAGGAUGAAGGCCUUCGGGUUGUAAACUGCUUUUGUACGGAACGAAAAGGUUUGGCCUAAUAAGCUGAGCUCAUGACGGUACCGUAAGAAUAAGCACCGGCUAACUACGUGCCAGCCGCCGCGGUAA
rnacentral:rRNA from 1 species